UACGUAGGGUGCAAGCGUUGUCCGGAAUUAUUGGGCGUAAAGAGCUCGUAGGCGGUUUGUCGCGUCUGCUGUGAAAACUCGGGGCUUAACCCCGGGCCUGCAGUGGGUACGGGCAGACUAGAGUGCGGUAGGGGAGACUGGAAUUCCUGGUGUAGCGGUGAAAUGCGCAGAUAUCAGGAGGAACACCGGCGGCGAAGGCGGCGCUCUGGUCCGUAUCUGACGCUGAGGAGCGAAAGCUAGGGGAGCAAACGGG
rnacentral:rRNA from 1 species